CUUUACUGUAGCCUGGUAUUGGGUUCGGGCUUUGACUGCGCAGGAUAGGUGGGAGACUGAGAAGUGUGCCUUGUGGGCACAUAGAGUCAACGGUGAGAUACCACUCUGUCAGAGCUAGAAUUCUAACCUUCACCCGUGAUCCGGGGAAGGAACCGUAUCAGGUGGGCAGUUUGACUGGGGCGGUCGCCUCCUAAAAGGUAACGGAGGCGCGCAAAGGUGUUCUCAGGCUGGUUGGAAAUCAGCCGUAGAGUGUAAAGGCAGAAGAACGCUUGACUGUGAGAGUGACAACUCAAGCAGGGUGGAAACACGGCCUUAGUGAUCCGACGGUACGCGCGUGGAAGUGCCGUCGCUCAACGGAUAAAAGUUA
rnacentral:rRNA from 1 species